rnacentral:rRNA from 1 species
UACGUAGGGGGCAAGCGUUGUCCGGAUUUAUUGGGCGUAAAGCGCGCGUAGGCGGCGCGGUAUGUCGUGCGUGAAAUCUCCCGGCUUAACUGGGAGGGGCCGUGCGAAACUGCCGGGCUUGAGGUCGGAAGGGGAAAGUGGAAUUCCGGGUGUAGUGGUGGAAUACGUAGAUAUCCGGAGGAACACCAGCGGCGAAGGCGGCUUUCUGGUCCGAUACUGACGCUGAGGUGCGAAAGCGUGGGGAGCGACCCGG